rnacentral:rRNA from 1 species
UACGAAGGUGGCAAGCGUUACUCGGAAUUACUAGGUCGUAAAGGGCAGGUAGGUGGUUUGGUUAGUCUGUUGUGAAAGCUCCUUGCUUAACGGGGAGAGGUCAACAGAUACUGCCAGACUUGAGUAUAGGAGAGGGUACUGGAAUUCCCGGUGUAGCGGUGGAAUGCGCAGAUAUCAGGAGGAACACCGAUGGCGAAGGCAGGUCACUGGGCCGCAACUGACGCUGAGGAGCGAAAGCAUGGGGGAGCAACAGG